ACAUCACAAGGUUUUAUCCAAGAAAUAAAUCUAUCCAAUACUUUAUUUGUAACAAACAUUCUAAAGUGUAACAAACUUUGUUUUUACUUCACAAUUGAAACCUUUUCCAGCCUUACUGUAACAUUUCAUGUUGGUCUUACAGGAGAUUCCAACCCAAUAAGGGACCGCUCCAUCAUUUCCAGGCCCAAAGCACACCAUAGAAGUAACCGAAGUCACUCCACUUCUUCUUCAAGACAUGGAGAUUCCAGCCCAAUAAGGGACCGCUCCAUCACUUCCAGGGACAAAUCACACCAUGGAAGUGACAAAAUGCACUCCACUUCUUCUUCAAGACAUGAGCGUUUCAACCACAUAAGGGAGCACUCCAUCACUUCCAGUCACAGAAGUGGAGCUCCUGGGUGUUCUUCUUUAGAUUUUCGAUCACCCAUGAGGUCAUCUCCUGGGGGUUCUUCUUCAGGACGUG